GUAUUGCAUUCAAUUCGUAUACUUAUGUAAUAAAAUAGGCUUAGAGAGGACUAGUCAGUUUCUGAAAGAUAAUUAUGAUUUAGGAAAUUUUUUGAAGAAUGACAGAAAGGUGUUAACAUAUGCUUAUAGAAUGUUUAAAAUGCCCCCAUGUAUAAAAACAUUUUGUCAAUCUAGUCAAGGACUGACUUACAAGCAUUGUAUUUCUAAGAUAUGUGGCUAACUUAUUAAAUGCUACAAUGUGUGUGUGUGUAAAAAAUGUAGAGCAGUAGCAUGUAGCUUAUUCAUUUAUGGCGUGUGUGUGCAAUUAUAUGUAGUUAUUAAGAACAGGAUUUUUUUUUUUUUUCGUGCGAUGUGACCGGGUGGGUGUGAGUUUGUUCACGCUUUCCUAUGUGUAAAAAAAAUGUAGAGAAGUAGUAUAUAGCUUAUUCAUUUAUGGCGUGUGUGUGUAGUUAUAUGUAGUUAUUAAGAACAGGAUUCUGUUUUUUUUUUCGUGCGACGUGACCGGGUGGGUGUGAGUUUGUUCACGCUUUCCUAUUGUUCGGAUGAAGAAUGGCUUGUGGUUUUGGGCAUGUGCGCGCGUGUUUGCAUACAUGUGUGGGCGUGUCCCCUAUAACCUGGGGUAGCCUCGGAAGAAGAAAAGGCUUGUGGUAGUGUGCGCAUAUGCCCCAAAUAACCCCGGGUAGCUUAGUCAGUCCCCUAACGUUGCGAGAGGAGCGUCAUAGAGGAAGUCUUCGCCGUCAUGACCUUACAACAACAACAACAACAACAACAGCCCCACGCUGCCGCUGCAACUCUUCAUGCUGACGAUGUUGACGAUCAGAUAAUGGGUCAAGCCGCAUUAGAAGUUGAAGCCAUGGAUAACACAUCCCAAGCUGAAGCCGUGGAUAACACAUCACAUCCCAGAAACGGAGCGGAUGUUGGUGGUGGUGAGGUGGGGGAUGUUCCAGAAACUCCCAAGUCUACCGGUGAACAUAUCACGGGCGAGUCAUUGGGCAACAACAACCGCGGCGCGUUGGGAGGUGUCGGUAAAAUGGGGCGGCGUGUGCUGAGGGAAGGAUGUGAUACCUCCAUUACCAGUGUCUCAUCUGAAGAACGACCCACCGGACAGCGUAACGCAUAUCCACGGCAACAACAACAGACACGCUUCGGUGAUGGUGUGUCUUGACUCUCCGUCGGGCGCUGAAUCGCGAGAGCGGCGGCGAAGUCGUCUGCAGCAAAAAGAUCAUGAAAUGCGUCAAUCACGACUGGAAAAAAAAUGCAGCAUAUGGCGGAAGUG